CAGCCUCACCGGAACUUCCCCAUCCUCCUGGCUUGGUUCCUGAAGUGGCCCAAGGCUGCCUUCUCCCUCCCGUGGGUGAACAGGGUCACUGCUUCCUCUCUUGUCCAGGCCCCCUGGCCUGACCCUGAGUCCCGGGCGUAACGGCGUUGUUGAACCACCACAACCCCAGGCGGCGCCUUCCUCUUGGCCCAGGGGCUCUCUUGGGGACAGUGUGCAGUACUCCCCAAGGGGGCUUUGCUGUGCAAAAGCAGCCCCUGCCGAUGCUGCGGCUCCCGUGGAUGGAGCACUGCCGUGGGAACAGAGUUGGAACUCAUCCAAAAGAAUAAAAGACAACUGUGUUGGAAGAUUGCCAAGGUUUGUAGCUGUGCCACCGCAGACUUCAGAGAUGAACACUGCCUUGGAGACGAGGAGGAUUCAAGUUGCAGAAGCAUUUAGCAGGAAUCAGGAAAAUAUAAACUGCUUGAAGUACCAGUCUUCUUUACGAAGUCUUCACGUGCCCCAGGAGUCCUCCAGUUAGGGUGCCAUUAGCCAGGAGAGCUCCUGCCCAGAAUUUGUACCCAGCCACAUUGACACCCAGAAUGGAGCUACCUUGCCCAGCUUCCCUUACAACCAGGCAAGGAUGUCACAAUGUAGAACCAAUGGGAUGAAGGCAGAAACGUUGUGCGGCAGCUGCUGAGAACCUUCCUUAAAACCUAGUCAGAAUGAACCCUAUACAACCCUAUACCCAUCUGCCUUGGCAUACAGUUGUUGAAUCCUGGGCUGCGAGGACAGAGGUCCCUUCCAGGGGUGAUGGAGUGCCCGUCGCAGAAGGGGAAGGCAGAGAUUUGAAGCAUGAGAAGGAUUCGCCAUGCAAUUAUUGGCUUGAAGAUGAGGGCAUCUGCAUGUCAAGGAGAUAGGGAUCUCAGUUUCACAACUGCAAUGAACUGAAUUCUGCUAACAACCUAGAUGCACUGCCCAACCUGAUCACAACUAAUGCACAAACAAAUAAUCCAAGGCUGAACUGUUGACUGUGGAGACAGGAGAUGCAGUGAAGAAUAUUUCUAUUUGAGUGACCCAGGUGGAGGAAGAGAGUGGAGGCAAGAAUAUAGAUGUAAGCAUCCUUGACCUCCCCAAUUCAUUGCUGGGCAGGAGGCAGAUAAACAGAGGCUUCCAGAAGGGUUCAUGUGAGUCCUGGAGCAGAAGGUUUGUCCAUGCAUCUUCAGACAUGGCCUGGAAAGAUUACUCACCUCUCAGAAAAAUCUGGGGGGCUGCUGCUUCUCAUAUUGAGUUAGAAGGCAGAGCUUGGACACUGGACCAAAUUGAGGACUAGCUAAAAUGCGGAUGGGGCAAAAACAACUUUCUAUAAGAUAUGCCCAACAGAGUGCCAUGUCGGUUUACCAUUGCCAGGGCAACACUCGAGCGGUACCACCUUUGUCCAUGGCAAUGACUCAACCACCUAGAAAUUACCACUCUUUUUCAAGAAAUUUUUGCAUAAUCUGUCCCUUAAUUUUCAAAGUAAAUAUAAGUGUGAGUACAAAACUGCUUCUGAGCUGCUGCUCUGGGCACACUGCCUCUGGGGUAGCCCUGCUCCACAAGGCACAACACCUCUGCUGCUGCUUCAAUAGAAGUUGCUGUCUAGCACCACUGGCUCACCCUUAAAUUCUUUCCUGGGCAAAGGCAACAACCCUCCCAGGUGAAGCCUC
rnacentral:lncRNA from 1 species